rnacentral:lncRNA from 1 species
UUUUUUUUUUUCUUAUUUUGAGACAGGGUCUCACUGUGUCGCCUAGGCUGGAGUGCAGUGGCGUGAUCUCAGCUCACUGCAACCUCUGUCGCCCAGGUUCAAGUGAUUCUCUGCCUCAGCCUCCCAAGUAGCUGGGACUACAGGUAUGCACCACCAUGCCUGGCUAAUUUUUGUAUUUUUUGUUAGAGACAGGGUUUCACAGUGUUGGCCAGGCUGGUCUCGAACUCCUGGCCUCAAGUGAUCUGCCCACCUCGGCCUCCCAAAGUGCUAGGAUUACAGGCAUGAACCACUGUGCCCAGCCUGUGUGGGUUGUCUUUUCACUCUCUUGAUGAAGUCCUUUAAAGCACGAAAUAUUUUAAUUUUGAUGCAGUCAUAUAUGUGUAUUUUUGCUUUUGUUAUUUGUGCUUUUGAUGUAAUAUCUAAGAAACCAUUGCUAAUUCAGACUCACAAAGACGUAUCCCUGUGUUUUCUUGUAAGAGUUUUGGUUUUUCCAUGUAGGUCUUUGAUCCAUUUUGAGUUCAUUUUUGUAUAUGGUGUGAAAUAGGAGUCCAACUUCAUUCUUUUGCAUGAUGAUACCCAGUUGUUCCAGCAUAAUUUGUUGGAAAGAAUAUUCUUUCUCCGUUGAAUUAAUUUGGCUUCCUUGUUGAAAAUCAGUUGAGGGUAAAUGUGAGGGCUGGUAUGAACACAACUGACCAUUCAGUCAGAUGACUCCCUUCCAUUCAGUUACUACCCUUUAUUUAGUCUACGUGUUGGCAGUGAUACCAACACUGUUAACAGAGACAGUCCUUCAUUUGGGCUUUGAGUCCCUUAUUUGUCCUGGGAGCCAGGCUCUGUGUAAAAUACAUUAUUCAGGUUAUUGCACAAUUUUCAAAAAUGCUCUAUUGUUAAUCCAUUUUACAGAUGAGGAUACUAAGACCCAGAGAGAUUAAGUGACUUGCCUGAAUUAGGUGGUGAAGGAAUGGCAGAUUCUCCUGAUGCGAGUCAGGAGUAUAGGAUAUUUUGAUAUAUCUGAAAGUAUGAAAAUGUAGGGAGAAACCAGUUACACUGUAAUAUACAGAAUAAUUAGCCAUCCAAAGAAGAUAAUUCAGUUCUUAUUUAAAAGAGAGAAAGGAAAAAUCUGAGUCCUCUACCCUUUGGCAGACCUACCUGGAACUUUGGAAGUACUUGAUGGCAUCCAUCAGGAAAUGGUCAGACGACUUGAGUUUUGUAUGCAGUUGUUGAUGAGGUCAGAUAGACGGGAGGGUCAAUGGAAAAUUUCAGAGCAUUCUUUUGUUUUGCAUUCUUGGCUAGUUGUAAGCUCUGCACUUGGUUGAAAGACGCAAUAGAACCAAGUGAUGAACAAGAAGGGAUAACUUAAUAAAGGAAUGAAAGCAGAACUUUAAGAAACUGCUGAUGUUUAGGAAAUGAAAAGGGGAUGAUAAUAGCAAUGAAUGAUUGUGAAAUCUGGGCCUCUUACUGUGAGUCUUAAAAUCAGUUCUAAAACAGAAGAUUAAAUACAUAUUGAUCUGCUGAUGGGAAAAGGUAAAGUUCAGAAGCAAAUAAUUGACCAAUAUGUAUUAUGUAAAUUAAGCUCUUUUCUGUGAUG